GACGAACGCGGGCGGCGUGCUUAACACAUGCAAUUCGAGCGGAAAGGCCCUGCUUGCAGGGUACUCGAGUGGCGAACGGGUGAGUAACACGUGGGUGAUCUGCCCUGCACUUCGGGAUAAGCUUGGGAAACUGGGUCUAAUACCGGAUAGGAACCAUCUUUAGUGUGGUGGUUGGAAAGUUUUUUCGGUGUAGGAUGAGCUCGCGGCCUAUCAGCUUGUUGGUGGGGUAAUGGCCUACCAAGGCGGCGACGGGUAGCCGGCCUGAGAGGGUGUACGGCCACAUUGGAACGGAGAGACGGGCCAGAGUCCUACGGGAGGCAGCAGUGGGGAAUAUUGCACAAUGGGCGCAAGCCUGAUGCAGGGACGCCGCGUGGGGGAUGAAGGCCUUCGGGUUGUAAAAUCAUAUCGCUAGGGAAGAAGCUUUGUUGUGACGGUACCUAGAGAAGAAGCACCGGCUAACUACGUG
rnacentral:rRNA from 1 species